CACAGGUGCUGCAUGGCUGUCGUCAGCUCGUGUCGUGAGAUGUUGGGUUAAGUCCCGCAACGAGCGCAACCCUUGUCAUUAGUUGCUACAUUCAGUUGGGGCACUCUAAUGAGACUGCCGGUGACAAGCCGGAGGAAGGUGGGGAUGACGUCAAGUCCUCAUGGCCCUUAUAGGUGGGGCUACACACGUCAUACAAUGGCUGGUACAAAGGGUUGCCAACCCGCGAGGGGGAGCUAAUCCCAUAAAGCCAGUCGUAGUCCGGAUCGUAGUCUGCAACUCGACUACGUGAAGUCGGAAUCGCUAGUAAUCGUGGAUCAGAAUGUCACGGUGAAUACGUUCCCGGGUCUU
rnacentral:rRNA from 1 species